rnacentral:rRNA from 1 species
UACGGAGGGUGCAAGCGUUAUCCGGAUUCACUGGGUUUAAAGGGUGCGUAGGAGGGCAGGUAAGUCAGUGGUGAAAUCUCCAAGCUUAACUUGGAAACUGCCGUUGAUACUAUCUGUCUUGAAUAUUGUGGAGGUGAGCGGAAUAUGUCAUGUAGCGGUGAAAUGCUUAGAUAUGACAUAGAACACCAAUUGCGAAGGCAGCUCGCUACACAUAUAUUGACUCUGAGGCACGAAAGCUAGGGGAGCAAACGGG